rnacentral:rRNA from 1 species
GUCUUUUUGAGAAUAAUUUAAAGUCAAAUCUGCCCACUGAAUUUAUUUAAAGGGCUGCAGUAUAUUGACUGUACAAAGGUAGCAUAAUCAUUAGUCUUUUAAUUGAAGACUUGUAUGAAUGAUUUGAUGAGAUAUAAACUGUCUCUUUAUUAAAAAUAGAAUUUAAUUUUUUAGUUAAAAAGCUAAAAUAAUUAUAAAAGACGAGAAGACCCUAUAGAGUUUUAUAUUUUUAUAAAUUUAAAUUUAUAUAUUUAAAAUUUAAAUUUAUAAAAAUAUUUUAUUGGGGUGAUAGAAAAAUUUACAAAACUUUUUUUAAAAUUUAAACAUUUAUAUAUGAAUAUAUGAUCCAUAAUUUAUGAUUAUAAGAAUAAAUUACCUUAGGGAUAACAGCGUAAUUUUUUUUUUUAGUUCGUAUAAAAAUUAAAGUUUGCGACCUCGAUGUUGGAUUAAGAUAAAAUUUAAAUGCAAAAGUUUAAAAUUUUGAUCUGUUCGAUCAUUAAAAUCUUACA